GCCUCAGUAGCUCAGCCCGGUAGAGCAAAGGUCGGAGAAGCAGUGGGUCGUGGGUUCAACUCCCACCUGAGGCU
rnacentral:tRNA from 1 species